AAAAUAAUUUUAUACAUAUCAUAUUACGACAGCAAGCUGGUUUGACGCUGAAAAGCUGUCCAGUAUUUAUCAAAUAUGAAAGGAACGAGCUUAGUGUUCACGUCAGUUCUUGUGAUAUGUUUACUUAUCUUGACGGUACAUCACACUAACGGCCAAAGAGGUUGGUAUUUUGGCCGGCCUUCCUGGGGAGGGUACAGGCCUUGGAGAGGGUAUCAACGAUGGGGUGGCAGAAGAUAUCAUGGUGGUUAUCGACCAUGGUUUGGACGACGGCCUUACGGAGGAGGAUGGCCGCACGGAGGAGGAGGAGGCCGCCCGCCCAUGCACGGAGGAGGAGGUCGUCCUCCCAUGCACGGGGGAGGAGGCCGUCCACCAAUGCACGGAGGAGGAGGCCGUCCACCUAGGCCUGUACCGACGCCGUAGAUGUACUCGGUCUUCUUGCAUUUCUACACCGAUUUGAAGAAAACAUAAACCUAUCAAAUUUGAACAUAUUAAAAGGAAAUAUUGCACUGUGGAAUCUAUGACUUUCUGAUUAAACAAAUGUAAUUUUGUUAAUGACCAUACUUAAA